GCCGGGCUGGCUCAGUUGGUAGAGCAUAUGACUCUUGAUCUCAGGGUCAUGAGUUUAAACCUCACGUUGGGUG
rnacentral:tRNA from 1 species